rnacentral:rRNA from 1 species
CCCUUAGAUGUUCUGGGCCGCACGCGCGCUACACUGACGGAUUCAACGAGCUUACAACCUUGGCCGAAAGGUCUGGGUAAUCUCCAAAAUCCGUCGUGAUGGGGAUAGAUUAUUGCAAUUAUUAAUCUUCAACGAGGAAUGCCUAGUAAGCGUAAGUCAUCAGCUUGCGUUGAUUACGUCCCUGCCCUUUGUACACACCGCCCGUCGCUCCUACCGAUUGAAUGGUCCGGUGAAGCGUUUGGACUAUGGUUUUCUGAUGGUCCGCCGUUGGAUUACCGUGGGAAGUUCGUUAAACCUUAUCAUUUAGAGGAAGGAGAAGUCGUAACA